rnacentral:rRNA from 1 species
GACGAACGCUGGCGGCGUGCUUAACACAUGCAAGUCGAACGGAAAGGCCUUUUCGGUGGUACUCGAGUGGCGAACGGGGGAGUAACACGUGGGUGAUCUUCCCUUCACUCUGGGAUAAGCCCAGGAAACUGGGUCUAAUACCGGAUAGGGCCGCACUUUAGUGUGUGUGGGUGAAAGUGUUGUCGGUGUAUGAUGAGCCCGCGGCCUAUCAGCUUGUUGGUGGGGUAAUGGCCUACCAAGGCGGCGACGGGUAGCCGGACUGAGAGGUUGGUCGGCCACACUGGGACUGAGAUAAGGCACAGACUCCUACGGGAGGGAGAAGUGGGGAAUAUUGCAGAAUGGGCGCAAGGCUGAUGCAGAGACGCCGCGUGGGGGAUGACGGUGUUCGGGUUGUAAACUAAUUUCGCCAGGGACGAAGCGUGUUGUGACGGUACCUGGAGAAGAAGCCCCGGCUAACUACGUG